CUUUGUGCCCUGCGUGCCGGGCGCGCGCUUAGUAGGCCGCGAGUUGAGUUGGCUGGAGGCAUUGAGUUAGCUCGAGAACCUUUGCAGCGUUGAGUGGAGGAACGAGCCUUCAGUUCUUGCCCUACUCCCCUCAGGUCACGGUUCCCCGCCAGCAAGCCGGGCCCCCAUGUCUGGCCCGGGGAUAGCCCUCACAGAACCGCGCGCCCCUCGGACACAGCCCUCCCCGAGGCCGCCUGGGCUGCCGGGCCCGAGCUCCGGGGCUGACGGCCUGGGAGGCGUGGGAAGGGUCCUGGUAGGCCCCUUCCCAGGACGCAGCUUACCUGGGGCCGCUCUGCCUUGCGCUCGUGGCUUGUGUCCUGUGGCCUUCCCAGAGGGAGGUGGGGAAGGGAGAGGGACUUCAGCCUCCAGGGGCUGUGGGAAAACUUGGCCAACUUUUUGGCCCACUUCUAACAAGCCGACUUGAUCUUAUUUUUCCUACUCUUAUUUUUCCCCUCGUCCUGAUUUUCUCACCGACUUGUUUUUUUACCUUGUACUACGCGUAUUUUUGUAAGCCACCUCAAAUCCUCUCUGGAAGGAGGCAGGUAUAAAUACAUUUGUGGGCAAAUAUGGUAGCUUGCUUCUCUUCAGGAUUACCCACACCCUUGUAAUCCACCUAACUACCCACUGACCUCCAUGCUUUCUGGAUUAGAGAUGCCCUGAAUUCCCUUCCUUUCCUUUCCUUCCUCCUUCAUUAAGUAUUAAGCAGCAGGGUGAGUGGUAGAGAGAAAAAGAGAUAAAUAAGAUACAGUCUCUGCUCCAGCAAGUUUCGUAUUUAGAGGAAUCAGAACCAGGAACACACCAGAGAAAGUGGAGGAGCAAUCCAGGCGAUGCCAUGAGGCAGAAUGCGUGCAUUCAUUCAUUCAUUCAUUCAGUACCUACUGAGGGCCUACUGUGUACCAAGAACUGGUCCAAACUCUUAGGGUACAAGCAGUGAACAAAGUAAAGUUCCCUGGGCUCUUGAAACUUAAGACGAGGGGGUCAGGCCCUUAAACAGAGGCUCAGUAGAUGCUACAGAGGGAGAGAGGAUGGGAACUCAGGGUAGUCAGGGAAGUUAGUCUGCUGGAGGAGAUGGGCUGGAGCAAGCCUUGAGCUGGCCAUGAUGGCAUUUGGAUAAGUGGGAGCUAUGGGGAGCAUGCAGGAAGAAAGAGCUAUUCUAGGCCUGGGGCAUCAACCUGGUUGGUUAAGGCCUGAGGAAUCCCAGGGGAAUUGGUCACGUCAGAACUGGUCUUCCCCACAUGAAAUAUUUUCUUAUUGUCAGAGUUGGGUUACGCAGUUUCCACAAGGACAACCCAGUGAACUUGAGGAACCCAACAGGAAUGGGGAGUUCCGAUCAACUUUGUAUUACAGGACAGCUGAAGGUUAAGCUCAUUUUCCCCUCAGCUGUUGCACUUCUUCCUGAUGUUUGCUCGUUCUUCCCCAGCCUCGCUAAGUGGUGGGAGCCUGACAAUCUCCCAGUCCAAGCUUGGAAAUGCAGAGGUUGUAGUAGGUUGGGGUGUCCCUUAAGCCUUCCCUAGGGAUUCAUGUCUCAGUACAUCUUUCCAGUCAGCAUAUUUACUUCUCAAUUUACAUUUUCUGAGUCAGCUACAGCUUUUAGAAGAGUCGAGAGAAAGACCACUGUGAAUGGUUUCAUGUAGUGUUUGGGUUAGUCGAGGUUUUCUGCAAGUCCCAGGGAUGAGGUUUGAUAAUGUUCUAUGUCCAGCCCAACAUGAAAGGUAGAUGGGAGGAGGUGGGAAGAAGAGGAACAAGAAUAGUUUAGCCUAUUGCCCAAACCAGGAUAUUUUUAAAGUAAACAUUUACUGAUGAAAAGUGUACAUGCAGAAAAUGUACAAUCUUGUGUCAGCGCAAUGCAUUCUUUUUUUAAGAUUUUAUUUAUUCAUUUGAGACAGAUACAGAGAGAGAGAGAGCGUGAGCAGGCGAGAGGCAGAGGGCGAGGGAGAAGCAGGCUCCCCGCCGAGCCAGGGGCCAGACGUGGGGCUCCAUCCCAGGACCCUGGGAUCAUGACCUGAGCCAAAGGCAGAUGCUUUACAAUCUGAGCCACCCAGGUGCCCCAAUGCAUUUAAAAAAAAAAAAAAAAGACUUUAUUUGAGAGAGAGUGAGAGCAAGAGAGAUCACAGAGGGAGCGGGAAAAGCAGAGUCCUCGAUGCAGGGCUCGAUCCCAGGACCCGGAGAUCAUGACCCAAGCCAAAGGCAGACGCUUAACCGACUGAGCCACCUAGGUGCCCCCUCAAUGCACCUUCAUAGAGGGAACACCCUUGUGUCACCAGCACCCAGAUCAAGAAACCAUCUCCAGCCCCCCUUAGGUACUACCAUCCCCACUUCUAAGAGCUUCCUGUACUUUCCCCUUUUACAUACAUUGUAUGGACGGAAUCAUAAGUGACAUACUCCUGAGUUCGUUUCCUUUGCUCAACAUUAUGUCUGAGUUUCAUCCAUGUGGUGGCAUGUGGCUGCAGAAUGUUCCUUCUCCUUGCUGCACAGUUAUGUUGUGUGACUGGGCCACAGUUUAUGUAUCUAUUCUGUUGAAGGGCAUUUGGAUGGGCUCUGGUUUGGGGUUAUUACAAAUAGUACCGCUGUGAAUGUUCCAGAAUAUGUCUUGGUGAUUAGAUGUGCAAAUUUCUGCUGAGUACAUGCCUAGGGAAGGAAUUCUUGGAUCAUAGGAUAGGUACGCCCAGCUAUUAUAGGCGAGCAGGACACUUACGAGUAAAAGGGGGUACUUAGUAGUCGUGACCAGACAGUGGGCGUACACCCGGGAAUGACCCAGGGCCAUAUCAACCAGGAUAGACCCACACAACUCAAAUAUAGGGUCACCCUGGCGCACAGUGUUUGACCACUCUCUCGGAGAGUCACCCAGCUACUUAGAGCAUCUGGUCAUCUGGCAGGGUCAGGUCUCCAGGCCCUGCUGACCCCAAGUUCUGCUGCCAGGAGGCCUGGCCGGCCUAGAAUGGGAGGAGAGCCUCUUCUGCUUCCAACUUUCAAGGGAAAACCUCUCCAAUGAAUUGGAAGGCCCAGGAGGCAGGCACCCCAAUGCGCUGAGCUAGCUACCCACGCUGCAUGGACUUUGUCAGCUUUCUUCUUCAGGGCUGAAACCCAGGAAAGCCCCGCUCCUCUCUAGCCUCAGAAAACCCCGAGGAAAAGGAGUUUAUGAGCACAUACUAAAUGCAUAUGUGUUCUCAGAUCCCUCAAUACCCCUCCCAGGUCAGUAAUGCUGUUGCCCCCAUCAUACAGGUGUCAAAACUGAGGCUCAGGGAGAUGAAACAGAUUGGUAUUCUGCUUUCUAUUCCCAGGUUCGGUGGGCUUGCUGCUUUCUCCCAGCCCGGCCAGAUGGAUCCCUCCAGGCACCAAGAGAGGCACCAGGGAUGUGGCCUUGAACUAGGCUCAGUACGGGCAGUCACCUUCCCACUCGUCACUGUGCCCCAGGUCCCGGCAGGGUACGUGGCACCCACGUGGCCCUCAGUGCACAUCUGUGGAGCAAAGGGAACUCGACACCCAGCGUGGGGCUCCAGUUCACAACCGCGAGAUCAAGAGCCCGCCAGGCAUCCUCCAAUAGGCAGAAUUUAUUGAACAUCCACCACACCAGGAACAUUCUUUCAUGGCUAUGGUUUCUUUUUUAAAAUUUAAUUUUAUGUAUUUAUGUAUUUUUUAUGUUUUUAUGUUCAUGGUUAUAGUGUUUAACAGUUACAACUCCCCAGGGUGGGUACAAGCGCUCUCACUUUACAGAUGGAACAGUGAGACCCAGGGAGGUUAGAUGACUUGCCCAAGAUCACACAGCAAGUAAGUGCAGAAGGAGCUUUGUUCCAGGUCUGCAUGGGAUCUAAAGCCGCUGUUCUUUCCAGGUCUGGUGGUUACUUCCCCAACAGGGUGUGUGGACUGUAAGGGAAGUGACAGCAGUUCAGGGGUGGCACUGGGUGGG